rnacentral:tRNA from 1 species
GUUAAUGUAGCUUAAAUAAAGCAUAACACUGAAGAUGUUAAGAUGGACCCUAGAAAGUCCCAUAAACA